AAAUGCGAUAAGUAAUGUGAAUUGCAGACUUCAGUGAAUCAUCGAAUCUUUGAACGCACCUUGCGCUCCUUGGUAUUCCUUGGAGCAUGCCUGUUUGAGUAUCAUGAAAUCUUCAAAGUAAAUCUUUUGUUAACUCAAUUGGUUUCUACUUUGGUAUUGGAGGUCUUUGCAGCUUCACACCUGCUCCUCUUUGUUCAUUAGCUGGAUCUCAGUGUUAUGCUUGGUUCCACUCGGCGUGAUAAGUUAUCUAUCGCUGAGGACACUGUAAAAGGUGGCCAAGGUAAAUGCAGAUGAACCGCUUCUAAUAGUCCAUUGACUUGGACAAUACUUUUAUGAUCUGAUCUCAAAUCAGGUAGGACUACCCGCUGAACUUAAGC
rnacentral:misc_RNA from 1 species